UACGUAGGGUGCAAGCGUUGUCCGGAAUUAUUGGGCGUAAAGGGCUCGUAGGCGGUCCAUCACGUCGGGAGUGAAAAGCUGGGGCUUAACCCCAGUCCUGCUUCCGAUACGGGUGGACUAGAGGUAGGCAGGGGAGAACGGAAUUCCGGGUGUAGCGGUGGAAUGCGUAGAGAUCCGGAAGAACACCGGUGGCGAAGGCGGCUAUCUGGACGGACACUGACGCUGAGACGCGAAAGCGUGGGGAGCAAACAGGG
rnacentral:rRNA from 1 species